UAAAUAGAAGUGAAACUGCAACCUUCAUCCUCCACCGUUUCAACUAUUGCAGUCGUCCGAUAUUUCCUCCAUUCUCUCUCAUCACUUCAGUCUGAUUUUUCUAGAGUUUUUUAAGGUUAGAUCAUUUCUUACUUCAACAUUGUACUUUGUAUUAUACUAUGUAAAUCUGAGACGUUUUAUUUAUGUCAAGUUUUUGCUAUUAUGCUAGGUGUUUUAUGUUUUUG
rnacentral:lncRNA from 1 species